AGUGAACGCUGGCGGUAGGCCUAACACAUGCAAGUCGAACGGCAGCACAGUAAGAGCUUGCUCUUACGGGUGGCGAGUGGCGGACGGGUGAGGAAUACAUCGGAAUCUACUUUUUCGUGGGGGAUAACGUAGGGAAACUUACGCUAAUACCGCAUACGCCCUACGGGUGAAACCAGGGGAUCUUCGGACCUUGCGCGAUUGAAUGAGCCGAUGUCGGAUUAGCUAGUUGGCGGGGUAAAGGCCCACCAAGGCGACGAUCCGUAGCUGGUCUGAGAGGAUGAUCAGCCACACUGGAACUGAGACACGGUCCAGACUACUACGGGAGGCAGCAGUGGGGAAUAUUGGACAAUGGGCGCAAGCCUGAUCCAGCCAUACCGCGUGGGUGAAGAAGGCCUUCGGGUUGUAAAGCCCUUUUGUUGGGAAAGAAAAGCAGCAGGUUAAUACCCCGCUGUUCUGACGGUACCCAAAGAAUAAGCACCGGCUAACUUCGUG
rnacentral:rRNA from 1 species